UUUUUUUUUUUUUGGUUGGAGUAGUUAGUCAUUAGUACAGAAGUGUUUGGUCACGAGCAGGAAAGAAUGAAAAUGUAAAAUUCAGUGGGCUUCAUUUCCAUGGUUGUGGUGUGAAAUUUGUGGGGGAGAUUCCGGAGUGAGGUAUGCCCCAGGUACUCACCUGAAAAAGGGUUCCAGGUACAUGGUGUGUCCGCAGCAUCCCUGGCCCCAUCCUUUCUGUCCUGGAAUUCUGUGUUUGUGGAUAUAUUAGUCAGGACAGGCUAGUUUAGUUUAUGCUACAGCAACAAGUGGCUCCCAAAUCUUAGUGACUUAGAGACUGACAGAUCUUCUCCACCACAUCCUUUGCCGAUUGGCUGUUGCUCUGCUUCCAGUCAUCCUGCUGGAGCAGUCUCUCCCUGGAACACUUGGUCACUGUGGCAGAAGGAAAGGAAAAAUGGUGAACCACUUCCUGGCUCGAAAAGCUUCUGUGUGGAAGUGACACACAUCUCUUCUGUCUACAUUUCAGAAGGGAUGGGGCCAGGGAUGCUGAGGACACACCAUGUACCCUUUUUCAGCAAUAUAUUGGAACAUUUCCUCAUAGUGUUUUUUUUCUUCGGCAUAUAAUUAAGUAGCCGCUUCCCCAACCCCCAUACAUGUUGUCCUGUCUCUACAAAUAUGCUGUAAAGCUUUUGGCAGAGAAGGAUUAACUUUCGACCAUUUCUUCACUCCUCAAAGUGCCUGAGACUAAAUAUUGUUUCAAGUCUCAUCACUCUGAGCAUGCACGAAAGGGGAGAGAAUGUCCUUUGAAGUCAGACACAUCCAGCUUUGAAUCCUAGCUCCACCACUUACUGGAUUUAUGUGUUUCAGUUUCGUUUUUCUUUCUCAUUUGUAAAAUGUUGAUAAUUACACACAGUUUAAGGCAAGUUGUGAAGAUUAAUUAAAGAGGUGAAAUAUAACACUUGAUGCAGUGCAGACACUCUAAUAAAUGGCAUUUGCUGUUAUUUUUAUUAUCAUUAUACUUUUUAAAAGAGGGGUUUAAAGAACCAAAACUGAUACCAUAUUCAGAUGUGAUCUGAUCAUCCCUAAGUAGAGUGAGACUCUCAACCUAUGAUAAGGAUGAUACUAAUACUUAAAAGAGUGGCUUUUCAAAAAUGGACAAAUGGAGUCUAAUCAAACUAAAGAGCUUCAGCACCUUAAAAGAAACUAUCAACAGAGUAAACAGACAACCUCCACAAUGGGAGAAAAUAUUUGCAAACUACGCAUCUGACAAAGGCCUAAUAUCCAGCAUCUAUAAGGAAUUUAAAUCUACAAGAGAAAAAGAAACAAUCCCAUUAAAAAGUGGGCAAAGGACAUGAACAGACACUUUUCAAGAGAAGACAUACAUGUGGCCAACAAGCAUAUGAAAGAAAACCCAACACCACUGAUCUUUAGAGAAAUGCAAAUCAAAACCACAAUAAGAUAUCAUCUCUCACCAAUCAGAAUGGCUAUUAUCAAAAAAUCAAAAAAUAACAGGUGCUAUUGAGGUUGCAGAGAAAAAGUAAUGCUUAUAUAUCAUUGAUGCUCCAGAAUGUAAAUUAGUUCAACCAGUGUGGUGACUCCUCAAAGACUUAAAGACGGAAAUAUUAUCUGGCCCAGCAAUCCCAUUACUGGGCACAUACCCAAAGGAAUAUAAAUCAUUCUAUCAUAAAGACACAUGCAUACAUAUGUUCAUUGUAGCACUGUUCACAAUAGCAAAGACAUGGAAUUAACCUAAAUGCCCAUCAGUGGUAGUCUGGAUAAAGAAAAUAUGGUACAUAUAAACCAUGAAAUACUGUGCAGCCAUAAAAAAGAGUAUCAUGUCCUUUGCAGGAACAUGGAUGGAGCUGGAGGCCAUUAUCCUUAGUAAACUAAUGCAAGAACAGAAAAUCAAAUGCCCCAUAUUCUCACUUAUAGGUGGGAGCUAAAUAAUAAGAACACAUAGACACAUAGAGGGGAGCAACAGACACAGGGUCCUACCAGAGGGUGGAGGGUGGCAGGAGAGAGAGGAUCAGGAAGGAUAACUAAUGGGUUAGGCUUAAUAUGUGGGUGAUGAAAUAAUCUGUACAGCAAACCCCCAUGACAUGAAUUUACCUAUAUACAAACCUGCGUGUGUACCCCUGACCUUAAAAAUAAAAUG
rnacentral:lncRNA from 1 species